UACGAAGGGGGCUAGCGUUGCUCGGAAUCACUGGGCGUAAAGGGUGCGUAGGCGGGUCUUUAAGUCAGGGGUGAAAUCCUGGAGCUCAACUCCAGAACUGCCUUUGAUACUGAAGAUCUUGAGUUCGGGAGAGGUGAGUGGAACUGCCGAGUGUAGAGGUGAAAUUCGUAGAUAUUCGCAAGAACACCAGUGGCGAAGGCGGCUCACUGGCCCGAUACUGACGCUGAUGCACGAAAGCGUGGGGGAGCAAACAGG
rnacentral:rRNA from 1 species